rnacentral:misc_RNA from 1 species
CCAAUAGCGUAUAUUAAAGUUGUUGUAGUUAAAAAGCUCGUAGUUGAAUUUCGGGAUCAGUACGUUGGUCAUGCCUUGGUAUGUACUGGUGUAACUGAUUCCUCCCUUCUGACGAACCGUCAUGCCAUUCACUUGGUGUGGCGGGAAAUCAGGACUGUUACUUUGAAAAAAUUAGAGUGUUUAAAGCAGGCUCGCGCUUGAAUACAUUAGCAUGGACUAAUGAAAUAGGACGUUAAUCCUAUUUUGUUGUUUUCUAGGAUCGACGUAAUGAUUAAUAGGGAUAGUUGGGGGCAUUAGUAUUCAAUUGUCAGAGGUGAAAUUCUUGGAUUUAUUGAAGACUAACUACUGCGAAAGCAUUUGCCAAGGAUGUUUUCAUUAAUCAAGAACGAAAGUUAGGGGAUCGAAGACGAUCAGAUACCGUCGUAGUCUUAACCAUAAACUAUGCCGACUAGGAAUCAGACGAUGUUAAUUUUUUAAUGACUCGUUUGGCACCUUACG